rnacentral:rRNA from 1 species
UACGACUACAUAUCAGGCAUAUCAAUAAGCGGAGGAAAAGAAACUAGCAAGGAUUCCCCUAGUAACGGCGAGUGAAGCGGGAAGAGCUCAAAUUUGAAAUCUUAAAGGAUUGUCCCUUUACGAAUUGUAGUUUAAUAGAAGUGUUUUCUGUUGGAGUUUCGGUAAAAGUUCUUUGGAAUAGGACAUCAUAGAGGGUGAGAAUCCCGUAUUUGACCGUUACUUCUCAGCUGCGUGAUACACUUUCAAAGAGUCGGAUUGUUUGGGAAUGCAGUCCAAGAUGGGUGGUAAAUUUCAUCUAAAGCUAAAUAUUGGCGAGAGACCGAUAGCGAACAAGUACCGUGAGGGAAAGAUGAAAAGAACUUUGAAAAGAGAGUUAAACAGUACGUGAAAUUGUCAAAAGGGAAGCGUUUGACACCAGUGUUGUUUAGUUGAAAAUCAAUUCAAUAGUUUUUGAUUCUAAGUAGUAUUGACUUCAUCAGCUUGCUGCUUUCUUCUCAGAAAUUAUUGAAUGCACUUUUCAGUUAACAAGUCAACAUCAAUUUCUUUUGUUGUAAAAGGGUAAGAGGAAGGUGGCUUGCGCUUCGGCUCAAGUGUUUAUAGCCUUUUAUCUCUGCAAUCGGAGAGAUUGAGGUCUGCAGCGUAGAUCCUUCGGGGUUAGAUACAUUGGUGCUAAGCUAUAGCCUUGUAUAGACAACUUGUUGACUAUGCUCAGUCAUGUAGCUUACUCGCUGAUGCUAUUUUACCUACGCUUAGGAUGUUGAGUAGCGACAUACGCAC